CAGUUCGGAUUGGAGUCUGCAACUCGACUCCAUGAAGCUGGAUUCGCUAGUAAUCGCGCAUCAGCCAUGGCGCGGUGAAUACGUUCCCGGGCCCUUGUACACACCGCCCGUCAAGCCAUGGGAGUCGGGAGUGCCUGAAGUUCGUGACCGUCACAGGAGCGACCUAAGGCAAAACCGGUGACUGGGGCUAAGUCGUAACAAGGUAAC
rnacentral:rRNA from 1 species